UACAGAGGGGGCAAGCGUUGCUCGGAAUCACUGGGCGUAAAGGGUGCGUAGGCGGCCAACUAAGUCGGAUGUGAAAUCCCCAGGCUUAACCUGGGAACUGCAUCCGAUACUGGAUGGCUUGAAUCCGGGAGAGGGAUGCAGAAUUCCAGGUGUAGCGGUGAAAUGCGUAGAUAUCUGGAGGAAUACCGGUGGCGAAGGCGGCAUCCUGGACCGGCAUUGACGCUGAGUGAGCGAAAGCCAGGGGAGCAAACGGG
rnacentral:rRNA from 1 species